UCUCCUGCCGGAGCGCGACGCUCUCCCCCAGGACGAAGCCAUGCAUGCCCGCUCACCCGGGACGCGGCGGACGGCUCAGGACAACGGUUGCACCCCCGCGGCGGUCCCUGCUAGCCGGACACCGCACCCGGCGCCAAGACGUGCGCGCAGCCCGCGGGCGAGCAGCGUGACGCAGCGACGGCCCGCCGGGCUUCCGGGGCAUCACCGGUCGGCGCGGUCGCGGCGCCGAGGGCCCGCCUGGCGGAGAAU
rnacentral:rRNA from 1 species